rnacentral:lncRNA from 1 species
UUGUUUGAAGGUGGUGAGCUUGAGAAUUACGUAAUUAAGAUGAAGGAAAAGGAGGCAAAAGGAAAUGAAAAAGGUGAAGGUUCCAUUGAGAUAUUUGGAUUAAUUGAUGCCAUGGCACCAUUGAUUUGAUAGAGAUUUGUGUGGUUUUCUCGUAGAAUCUUGCAAAACUCAAAUUACAAGGAUAAGCCCAAUGCAUUGCCGAAAGAGGGGGUACUGUUCAUGGCAUUUUUUUCGUUAGAAUAAAGAAAAGAAUUAAUUCGAAAUGUAAUUUGAUUUGUU